AUGCUUACUGUAGGGCCAAACUCCUGGUACAAGCUCGGGACUACCCCCUGCAACCCCCAAUGCUGAACGGCAGCCUGGCGAUGAAGAGGGGUGAAAUUCUGGACAACUUAUUAAUGCUGGAAGUUUGUCCAACCAGAAGAUUCGCGGUGCAAAUGAUUCAACCAGCAAAGAUGCUGUGAUAUCAAGCUCCCCGUUUUUGGGAAGGUCUAGUGGAUCAUUGAGGAAAGGUGCAGUUUUUGGAAGCCGCGACACUUUCACCAUGGAAAAUGACUCUGAUCCUACCGUUCUCGCAUCCCUGAGGCUAGUCCAGGGGCUAUGCACAUAAUCUCAAGUCGGCAAAGAAGUUCACCACUAGGUGCAUCAUCAGGCCCCAAGCUCGCUUCCACUGGCAGGAAUAAUUCUAACAUAAAGAACUAUGAGUCCACAAUAAAGGGUAUUGAGAAUUUGAAUUUCGAUGAUGAAGAGAGGGUACAUUAUUGAAUGCCUGCAUUAUCGCAUUCUUGUAUAUUGUCAGAUUGUGUGAUAGAUGCGAUGUACAACUAAGACUGUUGGAGAUGCUUUUGUGUAAGAUUUGAUUUGGAAAAUGAAGGAAACGGGAAGUUGGUAUUUGUGCUGACGAAGAUCUGUAGCCAAUAAAUAGACAACAGAUAGUGAAACCGAACAUGCACUGAGCCGUGGUUGCAUGGGUCUGAUUCCAUGUGCCCUUCCAUCCCGACCUUUGGUUCUGGUAUCUGUUUCCUUCUUGUGUUAGAGUAUUACCGGAACUGUAAAUUUGCCAUUAGAAUGCUAGCUUUCGAGUUUCAACAAAAUUUAUGCAGUUUUCAAGCAUUCGAGUAGCUGGAUGGGCUUUCGUAUGGGUGUAAAAUCCUUGUCUCUAUAUCAUGGUUGAUGAACUCAUUAAA